UGACCAUGACUCGAAGUCUUUAAUUGCA
rnacentral:sRNA from 1 species